AUUGAACGCUGGCGGCGUGCUUAACACAUGCAAGUCGAGCGGUAACAGGUGUAGCAAUACAUGCUGACGAGCGGCGAACGGGUGAGUAAUGCUGCGGAAUCUGCCCAGUAGUGGGGAAUAACGUAGGGACACUUACGCUAAUACCGCAUACGAACUACGGUUGAAAGCAGGGGAUCGCAAGACCUUGCGCUAUUGGAUGAGCCGAAGUCGGAUUUGCUAGUUGGUGAGGUAAAGGCUCACCAAGGCGACGAUCCGUAGCUGGUCUGAGAGGACGACCAGCCACACUGGAACUGAGACACGGUCCAGGCUCCUACGGGAGGCAGCAGUGGGGAAUAUUGGACAAUGGGGGAAACCCUGAUCCAGCGACGCCGCGUGUGUGAAGAAGGCCUGCGGGUUGUAAAGCACUUUUAGUGGGGACAAAAAGCCAAAGGCUAAUACCUUUUGGUCUAGAUUUAACCCAAAGAAAAAGCACCGGCUAACUCUGUGCCAGCCGCCGCCGUAA
rnacentral:rRNA from 1 species